rnacentral:tRNA from 1 species
CUCCCCUGCUAAGGGAGUAUACUGGAAACAGUAUCGAGGGUUCGAAUCCCUCCCCCUCCG